AUACGUAGGUGGCGAGCGUUGUCCGGAAUUACUGGGUGUAAAGGGCGUGUAGGCGGGAAUUCAAGUCAGAUGUGAAAUACCGAGGCUUAACUUCGGGGCUGCAUCUGAAACUGAGUUUCUUGAGUGUCGGAGAGGAAAGUGGAAUUCCCAGUGUAGCGGUGAAAUGCGUAGAUAUUGGGAGGAACACCAGUGGCGAAGGCGACUUUCUGGACGAUAACUGACGCUGAGGCGCGAAAGCGUGGGGAGC
rnacentral:rRNA from 1 species